AACGAACGCUGGCGGCAUGCCUAACACAUGCAAGUCGAACGAGACCUUUGGGUCUAGUGGCGCACGGGUGCGUAACGCGUGGGAAUCUGCCCUUGGGUUCGGAAUAACAGUGCGAAAUUGCUGCUAAUACCGGAUGAUGUCUUCGGACCAAAGAUUUAUCGCCCAUGGAUGAGCCCGCGUAGGAUUAGCUAGUUGGUAGGGUAAUGGCCUACCAAGGCGACGAUCCUUAGCUGGUCUGAGAGGAUGAUCAGCCACACUGGGACUGAGACACGGCCCAGACUCCUACGGGAGGCAGCAGUGGGGAAUAUUGGACAAUGGGCGCAAGCCUGAUCCAGCAAUGCCGCGUGAGUGAUGAAGGCCUUAGGGUUGUAAAGCUCUUUUACCAGGGAUGAUAAUGACAGUACCUGGAGAAUAAGCUCCGGCUAACUCCGUG
rnacentral:rRNA from 1 species